UACGUAGGGGGCGAGCGUUGUCCGGAUUUACUGGGCGUAAAGCGCGUGUAGGCGGCGGCUUAAGUCGGGUGUGAAAGCCCGGGGCUCAACCCCGGGAUGCCGCUCGAGACUGGGUCGCUUGAGGACGGAAGAGGGGCGUGGAAUUCCUGGUGUAGCGGUGAAAUGCGCAGAUAUCAGGAGGAACACCAAUGGCGAAGGCAGCUCUCUGGUACGUGACUGACGCUGAGACGCGAAAGCGUGGGGAGCAAACAGG
rnacentral:rRNA from 1 species